UUGUAAGUCAGUCUAUGUUUUAUGUAACUCAGACUUAAUGUAUUAAAGUAUCUCAGCCGUGAAGCAAACAAAUGAUAACAUUGUUUACAAACUCAGCCGUGAAGCAAACAAAUGAUAACAUUGUUUAGAAACUCAGCCGUUAUGUAUAAAGUAACUCAGUUGUAAAGUGUAAAGUAACUCAGCCGUGCAGCCGUAAUGUAUAAAGUAAC
rnacentral:lncRNA from 1 species